CUGAUUUUUUAUUUUCUACAAAUGCUGUUUUUAAAAAUUACGUGCGUUGAAAUUUUCUAUUACAUUUUUGUCAACUUGAUUUAAGUAAAACAGUUUGGGCUGCACUGCUUUCGCUGACAUUAAGCGCAACUGUACCAAGUUGAAUUAAAAGAAGCUGUAAUGAUAAGAAGUAAAACAAGCUCAUUAAAAUGGAUGUAAUAUAUUAUUAACAAUAUAUACAAGUGAAAAGAUCAUGUUUUGUUGAUGCAAAAACCGCUCAUAGGCCGGGACAAGUGCAAUGUUUAUUUAUAAAACAAAACGUUGACACCUUCCCGUCCUGCAAGCAAUUCAUGAGAUUUAUUCUUACGUACUGCGAAACUCCGUGAUCUGCACACUUGGUAUAGAGUUUCACAAGUACCACGACAAUAUGCGACCAAAUUACAAUAUAAUUAUUCUGUUCCAAAAAAAUACACAAAAUAAAAAAAUAAAAUGGAUGAACAGGUAGGCAGAGCAGUGGAUCAGUACCGAAAUAUCUCAUAUUUCAAAAACAUGCAGAAAAAAUGUAUUUCAUAUUAAAUUUCCGCCCCUACUUGAAGAAGGGCUCUCCAUAAGACUGAUGCCUCCUUUUUUUGUAUGUAUAUUGAACAUGGUUUUGUUGUGCGGGCGUUGUUGAGAACAAUAGGAACGUCGCUAAGGAUGUUUGAGAUGGAGAGAGGGAUCAAGCUGAGAAACUAAAGUACCCAACAGGCAAAUACGCCCCCAACAACUAUAACAACAAUAACAACAACAAGAGCACAGCAACAGCAUGAAUAAGAAGCGAGUUCAAUCGGCCCCAGUCCCAGCCCCAGUUCGUGCUUAAGACUUGGCUCUCCAUUCUUCAAUGGAAGAAGGAAUCGCAAAGCAGUCGCCGUUGCCGUUGCCGUCCCAGCCCAAUAAUAACGGAAAGCGGAAACGCAAAUAGACGGCGCGAUAACGAAAUAGAAACAGAGUGAGAGAGCGGGAGAGAAAGAGUAUAAAGCAAAAUGCCACAUAAAUUUGAAAUAACUAAUAAUUCAUUGAAUAGCAACAAAGCGGCACAAUAUCAUGUAAUAAUAUUUGCUUAAGCAAACAGCUGACACGACUGAAUCAACAUCAACGCCAUCAGUGCCAAUGGGGCCAGGCCAGGCCAGGCUAACAACUGGCAGUCCAGCAACCAAGAGGCAAUAUACAACCAACCAGGCAACCAAGCAACUACCUAACCCACCUCUAGAUGCAGACUCCAAAAGAAUGGACGACGCGUGAACGGCGCAAGCACCUCGAGCAGGCAACUACAGCUGCUUCAGGCUUCAGCCGAGUUGGAGUCAAGAACUGGGGGAGUGUGUGAUCCAGAGCAGGUAGAGAAUCGAUGCCACAACUAGUUUGAUUAUAUUCCUGCCAUUUCAAGAGCUUAACAAUCAAUACAAACUGCUUUGUUAAGCUUAUAAAAAUUGAAUUUACUAUUUAAUAGAUUCAGCACCAAACCACUGCAAACUACAUAAUUAUUUCGAUAAGACAUAAAAUGAAAUAUUCAUCACUUGGCUUGUCUUCAAGAAUGUUAAAUUUCACACUGAGCUGAUGGCAUUGUUAAUUACUAUAAGCGUUUUUUUGUAAAUUA